CCUCCCUUGGCGAAUGGAUUCCCGGGAAAGUGCCCAGGGUUCCCCCUUGGCUUCCCUUCCGUCUAAAGGCCUCCCCCAGGUUGGGAAUCCGGGUGAUCUACUGGGCGGUUUGGGGUUAAAAACCUGAAAUAAGGAAAUGGGGUCAAUAAUAACAUGGAGUGUGAGAAGCAACUGGAGAAAUGGUAAUUCUAAUGGCUUGAAGGACUUAUUUGACAUUUUACAAAUCAUUUCGAUUCGUAUUGUGGAGUCUUCUACGCAGCUGUUUCAAAGUACUUUAGACAGUGCAACUGUAUAACCUCCCCCCACCCCCCACCUAACCAGGACUGUAGCCCUUACUAGCGAGUUUAAAUCAGGAUUUUAAUGGGCUGUUUUAGUUUAGCUCGGUUUGAGUGAUUCCUGCUGUCUUCCAUGCUAGGUGAGGAGGAACUUUCAAGAUCCUUCCCUGAGACCACACCCUAUUAAAAGACUAGACCAAUGUUUUUUUGGAACAUCAUGUAUGCGUUUAGAGAAAAUGAAAGUACAGGCCACGCUGAAACAAAUCGGAAGAAUAGAUUAUCUUUAACGAAAUAGAAACUAACCUAUGCCCCUCCUGCCGUCAGCGCCUGCCGUGCUGCCAUUGAGGCAUGGUGAUUGCAGCUGUACAAUGCCCCCUGUGAUGCCUCACUGCACCAACGCGCCACCCACUCACGGAAAAGAGAGCCACCUAGUGAAAUACUGUUCUCAUCUCUGGUGUAGGUACUUCCUUUCCGUCAACUCUAGAGCCCAAGGAUGGAGAUUACUACCACAUAUUACCUAAAAUACCCUACAUGUCUUUCCUGAAAUGCACUGCUAAUCAUCACAGUUAACGCCUUUUAAGUCUGUGGCUCAUAAUAUCCAGUAAACAGUGUUCGAGCGUAUGUCAUGACACUUCUGAUAAGCAAUCUAGGAGAUUAUUAGUAUCUUCUCAUUUUGGAAAUAAGAAAACUGGGAUCAGUAAGAUGAAUCCUUUUGUUGUGUUUUCUACAAACAUUUACUGAACAUCUAUUACUUUUCAGGCUCUGUCCAGGUUACUGUGGAUAUCAUGGUAAAAGAGGCAUUGUCCCUAUCUUGGAGAAACCCACCUUCUGGUAGAGAUACCAGAGAAUGGAGAAGUGAUAAGAAUGCAAGAUGAUGGGUGCAGUAAUUAAGGUCAGAACAAAGUACCCCAGGUACACAGAUGAGGAUCAGAAAUACAACCUUUGUAUUUUAUAUCAGCUUUCCUAAGAAUUUUGUAAGAUUCUUCAAUAGCUUUACAAUGCCCCUACAAACUAGGUAGAAUUGUAGCGUUGACAUCUUGUAGGUUGUAAGACACCAAUGCCCAUCUUGAAAAUAACUUUUGAAAAUCAAUAAAACUCAGAAAAAUUAUGGCCCAGAUAUUAUACAUUGCUGAAUGUACAUUUUCCAAUCUCGUCUCUUUCUACUGCUCUCCAUCAAAAGAUAUGUAGAAUAUAAGCUUCUGUAAUAAUAGCUUUAAUUCAUUUCAUUCCCCUGCAGAUAUAGAUUACAUCUAAACCAAAAGAAAUUAAAGAGAAACUCUUAAUCCUA